GGAUGGGAAGAUGAAGGCUGAACUGAAAACAUUUACUGAUGAGCCAAGGAUGCUGAGGGACCUGGGACCAGAAUCAAUGCAGCUGUCACCACCCUGAGGCUUGAAGGACUGGCAGGAUUGUCAGAGUCUGAUAAGAAAUGAGCUAUGUUAGGGGGAACCUCCCACAGGAAGGUGGCUUAUGGGAAUGGAGCAGCAACAUCUGUAGACUGGGGGAGGGUGGAAGGAGCUGGUGGAAUGGGUGCCUUCUUGGCUUUCCUGUCUUUUGAUUUCCUGAUGGCACCUCUGGUUGACCAGCAUGGGCGGUCCAUUUCGGAGACUCUAGGAGUUCUGGUCCAGGGAGGAGCUGAGAAUGGAUGAGGGGUUGAGACCUAGUUAAGGCACACACAGCAUCUAUCUCCUCAUCAGCUUCUUCACUUUAGCUGUGGGAUUUCUCAGGCGAUUGCCCUUCAAUGAAUAGUUCUUUGUCGGCUUUUAGGGGUGACUGUAUGUCAAUUCUAUUUUUAUUUCUAUAUGUAAUUAUUACAUAUAAUAUUAUACAUAUUAUUUUGUAUACACACAUAUGUACCUCAUAUAUUUUAAAAAAUUUAUUUAUGUAUAUGAGUGUUCUACCUGCAUGGACACCUGUGUGCCAGAAGAGGGUAUCAGAUCCCAUUACAGAUGGUUGUGAGCUAUCAUAUGGUUGCUGGGAAUUGAACUCAGGACCUGUGAAAGAGCAGCCAGUGCUCUUCACUACUGAGCCAUCUCUCCAUUCCUGCAUAUAUUCUUAUUUUUAAGGAAAUUAUUAUUAUUGAGCAGCCUGUACAGGGCAGAUACAUAGGGUAUUAGUCAGAUUACUAUUGCUGUGACAACACUCCUGAGACAAUAAAAUUAGAAGCAAGAGAGGUUUACUUUGACCCAAAAUCCCAGAGAUUUCAAACCAUAGGCAUUUGACUCCACUGCAUCGGGUCUGUGGUGAGUCAGGGCUUUAGAGUGGGGAGGCAUUAGAACACAUGACAGAGAAAGGCUGUUUCCCUGUAGCAACCAGGAAGUUAGGUGUGUGUGGGGGGGGGAGGGUUGGGCUGGAGGAGAGAGAGAGAGAGAGAGAGAGAGAGAGAGAGAGAGAGAGAGCAGAGAAAGGAAGAGAGCCAAGAGGGAGGGAGAAAGAAGGAAAGGAGAAAGAAAAGAGAAGGCAGUACUGUCAAAUAACUCCUUUAGGGUCUGUCCCAUGACCUAACCUCCUCCCAGUGGACCCUGCCUUUUAAAGGUCCUGCCAUCUCUCAGUGGUGUUACAGGCUUGGGACCAAUCCCUUAGCAUGAGAGCCUUUAGGGAGCAUAUAAGCUGCAAACCAUAAAGAAUAUCUUAAAAGGCUUUUGUGCCCAUAUAGAGAACAUACAAGAAAGGGCAAUUCUCAGACCCUGCUCCUGCCUCCCUGAGGUGACUCUGGGGUUGGGGGCCUGGUCUGCAGCAGCAUGUCCGUGGACUCAGUUUGGGGUGCCCUGGGAUAGAUGCUGUGGAGAAGGAAGCUGAUGCUUCUCUCAGGCCAGUGUUGCUGUGGAAACCAGCUGUGCACAGGUGCAGCCUUACUCACACAUCCCCCUGCUGCACCAGCGUUUGUUUCUUCUCUGCCCCAGGCUCCUCUGCUGUACAGGAAGGGUGAGCUGGGAAGCCUGCCGAGCCAUUCCAGGCAUGUGCAAACCUGGAGAUGCUGAGGGGUUGAUGAACAGCCCUGGGGCCUCCAUGAACCAAGGUUCUGUUUCAAGCAUCAAGAUGGCAGCUCACAGCCAUGGAACUCCAGUUUCAGGGGAUCUGGUGCCUUCCUCUGACCUCCAAGGUACCCACAUACAUAUACAUACACUAACA
rnacentral:lncRNA from 1 species